rnacentral:lncRNA from 1 species
UCUGUGGGCUUUGUGUACUCAUGUUCUCUCUCUUUUCCUUUGUAGGCAAUUUAUAGCAUUGAUCUACAGUGAUCUGUACUGAUCUAAAGCGCUGAUCUACACUGAUCUAGACUGAUCUCGCUGACUUCAAUGUGAAGGUACACAGUUGGAAGAGCUGUCCCGUGAGCAGCUGAGGCGAGGAGAAGCCAGAGGUAGAAUUGGGAAGGACUUGAAUGAGUGGGAAAAGAAACUGGUUAUUAUUGGAAGAAGGAAGAAAAUACAAGUUAGUUGGAUGCUUAUGGUGUGUCAGAUGCUACAACUGGAGUCCAGUAAGUCUCACAGGGGCGCCUGGCUGGCUCAGUCAGUAGAGCACGGGACUCUUGAUCGCUGGGUUGUGAGUUCAAGCCCCACAUUGCACGUGGAGUCUGCUUAAAAAAAAAAAAAAAGGCUCAUAAAGACUGUAUAGAUCUAAGGAGAGUAUUACUUUCAGAAUUGCAAUGGGCCUGUGGUCUACAGUAUCAGUGGUCUGUAAGACAGGGUGAUCAGGAGGGGAAGUGGUGACAUCUGAUACCUGUGUGCAGUUACCCAUGUGAUUAGGACCACCUGACAGGCGGCUGUAGACAGACACAGUCAUGGUGGACAACUUGGAUGGCCCUCAUAUGGGAUGAGUUAAAAUAUUGCCCUGUUUUCUGAAAAAUAAUGAAACUAUGGCUUGAUCCUUAAAAUGCUUUUAGAUGGAACAUAACUGGGCAUUACAUAGCACUGAAAUACAUAAUGAGCAAAAGUUCUCUUUAAUUUCCUCUCAGUCUCCUGAUUAGGUCAAGUAGGAAGUUUUAGUUCUGCAUUAGUAACAUUUGAACUGUUCUCAGAGCAGGCCACCCUCUCUCUCCCUAGACUUGAG